rnacentral:rRNA from 1 species
GGAAUUGUUCGCAAUGGGCGAAAGCCUGACGACGCAACGCCGCGUGGAGGAUGAAGGCCUUCGGGUCGUAAACUCCUUUCGAUCGAGAAGAACUCCCUCGGGGUGAACCAUCCCGCGCGUUGACGGUACCGAGAGAAGAAGCCCCGGCUAACUCUGUGCCAGCAGCCGCGGUAAUACGGGGGGGGCAAGCGUUGUUCGGAAUUACUGGGCGUAAAGGGCUCGUAGGCGGCCAACUAAGUCGGACGUGAAAUCCCUCGGCUCAACCGAGGAACUGCGUCCGAUACUGGAUGGCUUGAGUCUGGGAGAGGGAUGCGGAAUUCCAGGUGUAGCGGUGAAAUGCGUAGAUAUCUGGAGGAACACCGGUGGCGAAGGCGGCAUCCUGGACCGGCACUGACGCUGAGGAGCGAAAGCCAGGGGAGCAAAC